rnacentral:rRNA from 1 species
GACGAACGCUGGCGGCGUGCUUAACACAUGCAAGUCGAACGGAAAGGCCCUGCUUUUGUGGGGCUCUCGAGGGGCGAGGGGGUGUGAAACACGUGUGUAACCCCCCCCUGUCUGUGGGAUAACUUCAGGAAACUGGGGAUAAUACCGGAGAGGAGAUCCUGCUGCAUAUGGUGGGAUAGUAAGUUUCGGCGGUUGGGGGUGGGUUGGCGGCUUAUCGGCUGGUUGGGGGGGUGGUGGCUGACCAAGCCUUUGACGGGUAGCCUGCCUGAGAGGGUGACCGGCCACCUUGGGCCUGAGGUACGGCCCAGCCUCCUACGGGAGCCAGAAGGGGGAAAUAUUGACCAAUGGGCGGAGGCCGGAUGAAGCAACGCCGCGUGCGGGAUAACGGCCUUCGGUUUGUAAACCGAUUUCGUAUGUAACGAAGCGUGUGUGACGGUAACGGGUACAGAAGCACCGGCUAACUACGUG